rnacentral:rRNA from 1 species
CGCGGCCUAUCAGCUUGUUGGUGAGGUAACGGCUCACCAAGGCCACGACGGGUAGCUGGUCUGAGAGGACGAUCAGCCACACUGGGACUGAGACACGGCCCAGACUUCUACGGGAGGCAGCAGUAGGGAAUCUUGCGCAAUGGGCGAAAGCCUGACGCAGCAACGCCGCGUGGGGGAUGACGGCUUUCGGGUUGUAAACCCCUUUCAGCAGGGACGAAACUGACGGUACCUGCAGAAGAAGCCCCGGCCAACUACGUGCCAGCAGCCGCGGUAACACGUAGGGGGCAAGCGUUGUCCGGAAUUAUUGGGCGUAAAGAGCUCGUAGGUGGUUCGGUAAGUCAGGUGUGAAAGGCUGGGGCUCAACCCUAGGACCGCACCUGAUACUGCUGUGACUCGAGUCCGGUAGAGGAGUGUGGAAUUCCUGGUGUAGCGGUGAAAUGCGCAGAUAUCAGGAGGAACACCAGCGGCGAAGGCGGCACUCUGGGCCGGUACUGACACUGAGGAGCGAAAGCGUGGGGAGCAAACAGGAUUAGAUACCCUGGUAGUCCACGCCGUAAACGUUGGGCACUAGGUGUGGGGUCUUAUCAACGGAUUCCGUGCCGUAGCUAACGCAUUAAGUGCCCCGCCUGGGGAGUACGG